UACGUAGGGUGCGAGCGUUGUCCGGAAUUACUGGGCGUAAAGAGCUCGUAGGUGGUUUGUCGCGUUGUUCGUGAAAACUCGAGGCUCAACCUCGAGACGUCGGUUGAAACCGUAUGGCUAGAGUCCGGAAGAGGAGAGUGGAAUUCCCGGUGUAGCGGUGAAAUGCGCAGAUAUCGGGAAGAACACCCGUGGCGAAGGCGGCUCUCUGGGACGGUACUGACGCUGAGACGCGAAAGCGUGGGGAGCGAACAGG
rnacentral:rRNA from 1 species